rnacentral:rRNA from 1 species
AUGAGUCAUCCCUGAUAGUUUAACUAUCCUAAAGGGUUGUUGAAGACUACGACGUAGAUAGGCAGGGUGUGGAAGCGUUGCAAGGCGUUAAGCUAACCUGUACUAAUUGCCCGUGAGACUUAACCAUACAACACCCAA